CUCACUAACUUUGCACGAAAUGAAGAGGAGCGAAGCGCUUAAUAUCGGUAUUUGCCGAGCUGUGAGAACAUCUAAAUUUUUGAAUGGAUGAAAACAUCUUACAACAUGCACAGGCUGUCCUGAGAGACUAUUAAAGGAGGAUUGUAAGAGAGGAAUAUGCCAACAAGAACUGCAAUGAGGAGUCGUUGACAGGAGGAAACUUUUUAAAAGAGACCACACACUACCUCAUCAACAUGCUUGAAGAUGAUCUGAGCCUGAAGAGGGACAAAGGGCCUAGUGAUAGACUACCUUUCUGCAAGUAUUGACAAUUCUGCUUUUGUAUGGUGAUAAUUUCAGGGAAUACGUGGUGAUGAGGCAUCAGUGUUGCAAUUAUCUGUUUGUGAGUGAUCAAAGAUGUUUCGCAAGCCAUAGCAAGAAAAAAGAGGUUUUGUGAGAACUUCAACAACCAGAGAUGAGAUUGAGACUACCCAACAACAACUGUGUGAGUGAUCGAUGGGACCCAUGUCUAUACAAGAAUUCCUGGAGGGAAACAAGCCUUGUACUUUCCUGAAGGGCAAGUCCACCCCAACAAAAAGUUUCUUUGAUAUAAUACAGAAAAGUCCAAUGAGCAUAACACUAAACAUUUCAUCAAAAUUUGAUGUAAAAUGAGAAAGUGUUGACAUUUUGAAGUUUCGCUUAUUUUCACAAAACAGACAUCCUGGUCAGUAUGCAAAUGAGUGACAAAGUGACGUUCUCCACUCAGUGUUUCUUUUUGUAAUAUACUAGUAUCAUGAUUUUUUCCCCUCAUAAUGUGUAUAAAGUACAGGUGAGAUAUGGUUUGAUUUCUCCCUGAAACUUUUGUAAAAAGCCAUUGUGGCAACCUAUACUCAAUUCGAUGAAGAGUUUUCUCAUAAUUGU